rnacentral:rRNA from 1 species
GAGAUUCCCCCAGUAGCGGCGAGCGAACGGGGAGCAGCCCAGAGCCUGAAUCAGUGUGUGUGUUAGUGGAAGCGUCUGGAAAGGCGCGCGAUACAGGGUGACAGCCCCGUACACAAAAAUGCACAUAUUGUGAGCUCGAUGAGUAGGGCGGGACACGUGGUAUCCUGUCUGAAUAUGGGGGGACCAUCCUCCAAGGCUAAAUACUCCUGACUGACCGAUAGUGAACCAGUACCGUGAAGGAAAGGCGAAAAGAAC